GCUUAGGAGGACUGCACUGUCCUUCAGAGCAGCUGGGACCCAGUUCAACCCCUGUCCUAGUGUGACUUGGGAGAGCUACAGAGUUUAUUUCAGCCUCGGUUUUCUCAUCUGCAAAAUAGGAAGAAGAAACAAGAUUUGCCCUGCUUGCCCUGCCAGGUGCCAGUGAGGAGCCAUCUAAGAGGGCAUCUGGGCCCUGGGGUGCAAGGAGGACUGAGGUGGUCGCCAAGCCUGCCCACACCUCAGUCCCCCUACCACAUUGCACAUACAUGAAAUCUGUUCGGGGCCAGGUGUUAGUGCUUUGGGUUCCCCGCUGUCCAGGAUGGGGUUCCCAGUGGAGGUGCAUCAGCAUCCCAUGGGAGCUUGUCAAAAAUGCAGACUCUCAGGCCCCACCAACCAGCUGAACCAGAAUCUGCAUGUUUAAACAAGAUCCCCCAAGAGGUGAGUGUGCUCAUUAAAGUUUGAAAAGCCUCACUUCGGUGGACAUUGUUUUGCCUGUCUUGGACCCAUUCCCCCUUCUUCUGGUAAAAUUGAUCAUAUUUUUUGGGGGGAGAACCAUGGGCCCCAACUCUGGUCAUAUGUGCUUCAGUAGGGCUAAUCCACUCUCCAGAACCCGGAGGGCACACGAAAGCGAGUCCCAGCCAAUCCGAAUCAACGCUGGAACUGUGGCUGGGCACAAGGAGCUCUCUUUACAUGGCUGUUGUUCAGCUGUAGGAUGGAGUCUGGAGAUCGACUUCCUGGCUUUUCAGUGCGUGUAAGCCAAUCAUGUAAGACCCAAGGAGCAGGUCUCGUAGGAUGUGAUGACUCCUGCAGGAGGCAGCCUUGCGAUCCUCCAUGCACUCUUCAGCUGUUCGUCUCAAGUGAAACGGGACCAAGUAGGCCCACGGAGCUGCCAGUUACGGGAACAUCCAAUGUACCGUCCUGAACUUGUGGGGCCUCAGGGCCCGUUUCCACCGCCUGCCCUGUGAUCUUGAGCUACCUACAACACCUCUCUGAGUCUUGUUUUCCUCAUUUGCAACUGAAGACAAUAGUAUCUAAUACAAUUAGGAGGAUAAAAUGAGUUAACUCAUGUAAAGUGCUUAGCACAGAGUAAGUACUAAAUGAAGAUCACUACUGCAAGACUGGGUGGGUGGAUAAUUCAUGCUUUUGCUCCAAGGUGAGGUUGCCCUGUCUGCCAAUCUAUCACAGCUAGGGAAGUGGGAGGCUUUCCCCUGUGGGAUGUAGACUGGGGAAGGCCACCAUCUCUCACUGAGCGUGGAGGCAGAGCUGCAGUGUUCAGGGUUGGCAAGGGAGGGAAGGUGAGACCUGCAGUCGCCCUUCCUUGUCCAGGUCUGCCCCUUCAAUCCUUUCUCUCCUCCUUGGCAGACCCCUUAUCUCCUCCACAAAUGAGUCACUCUUGCCAGGGGACAAGCUCCCCGGGGCCACAUCCUACCCCCAUGAAGCUGUAGCAUUAUAAGAAUACGAAAAGGCAGACCAGCCUAACCAACAUGGAGAAGCCCCGUCUCUACUAAAAGUA